CUACAAAACUGUCCCUGAAACCAACGUGGUGAAGCCUGUCACAGCAGGAUCCCAUUCUUCAACACCAAUUUCUGUCUUGGUUUCUGCCAUCGGAAUGUUCUGCGUGUGCAAGGCCAAGCCACCAUGAGUAGAAUCCUCUGACACCACGGCAAGCACCACAUGGAAACCGAUGCUGGUGACCCUCAGAAUGCAUCAUUUCAAAAACAGAACUUAGAAAGACUGUGACAUGUUCUUCAACAAAGUUCUGAUAAUCAGAUGCCUACACAGAAUGAGUCUGGAGCAGUCAUGUUUAAGUUGUCAAAUGGGGACUGUGUGUGACUAGAAAGAAAUGAAGUAGGCAUGGAAGUUCUAAGGCUAAGCCAUGGACUCUGCUCAAGCGAAUUUCUUGAAGCUCUGUAAACAUACUAUAAAAAUAAAAUCUGUACUGAAGUCUGUA